AAGACUAUACUUUCAGGGAUCAUUUCUUUAGUUGCUGACUUGAGAAAUGUGUUUCUAAGGAGUUUGGUCUUGUUGUCCAUGAUGAAGAGUUCAGCUGUUUCCUUCGGAGCAAGAAACUGUUGGAAGACUUUGUUUCUUCUCUGUUGUUGAAGAUUGUUCAGAGUUUCUCUGAGAUGCUCUGAUGGAGGAAACAUGAUCUGAGUGAA